UAAAUACACCGAAUUAAAUUGAAAUCACAUCGAUACAUCGAAAUAAUCCAUCCAUCAUGAAGUGGUUCAUUCUGGCUGCAAUUUGUUUCAUUGCCUUUGUAUUACAACGAAUUGAUAAUGUCGAAUCUCAAACAGCAGCAGGUCAGCAGUGUGGUCCCAAUGCGACGUAUUUAGCAUGCGCGUGUCCUUUUACAUGCUUUAAUGUGAAUCGAGGAUGUGGAAAUCGGUGUAUUCCUGGAUGUCAAUGUGAUGAUGGGUUUGCUUAUUUUGGACCUAAUUGUAUUCCGUUGGAAAAUUGUCCUCAAAAUGGAUAUUGAAUAAAUAAAAUUUCAAAAAUGAAAAAAAUGUUUUUUAUAAGUUUUAUUAAAUAUAUUAAAAAUAAUAAUAAUAA